rnacentral:lncRNA from 1 species
AUCAUUAAAAUCACCUGGAUGGAAUCAAUUUCUUCUUGGGAAACAUUCCCAUCAAUUCCCUUCACUCCUGUCUUGGUGGAGCCACAUUCAGUAUGCUGGGGGUCACAUUCGUUGGCAAUCAGAGUUCCAACACUUGAACAACCGAAAUACUCCGAUCUAGGAGUUCUCUGAGGACUUGGCUGGGUUAUUACCACGGCCUCGAGAGCCAGUUGGAUGUCCCCGG